rnacentral:sRNA from 1 species
GGGCAUUCGUAUGGCUGUCGAACAUGACUCCUUCGCCAAGCUGAAAUCUUUUUUGAGCUUCUGGUAUUUUGCAUAGCUCUGCUAUGAUAUCGUGGACAUGGUCUUCGACCGCAACCCGUUCGUAGAUCUCUAGAUCUUUUUCACUCCGCAGCUGUCGACGGGAAAAACGCCGACUGAUGCCAUGCAGCUCGACAAGGGAGGCGAAUAAUUGAGGUGCUUCUCCUUCAGCUGGUUGCAGAUAAGUGGAUACAACAUUGUAGAUUUCUUGCUGUUGUGUAGGACAAUCUGACCACAGACAAAGUUUUGUUGGGCAAUAUUUCCCAGUGGGUGGUGGAAUGUUCCCUUUAGUGGAGUGAGAUAGCGUUCCGACUUUUAGAGGCCG